UAUAUAGGGGAUGGUCCAAUCCUCCAAUAAUGGGAUCCUGGCGGGGGUCCCUGUGCACCUGACGUGUUUCGCUGCAAUUAGCUAGCAGCUUUUUCAGAUCAUCUAUUUGCAUAUGGAGGACUUUCAAUAGCAAGCUGAACCGAUGAACUGUACCUACCGCAUUGCAUGAGGAGCCCACCAUCCACUAUUUCGGAGCAUACCAUCCUCUAGCGGUAAAUUGCCAUCACAUUGGACACUGCUUACCUCCCAUUAAUCUGCUUAUGCUGGACUUUACAAUUAUUGGGGAACAAUUGUGGAACGGACCUCCUAUUUCUAAAUCCUCUUCAAAUUCCUGGCUGCUUGGGUUUCUAGAGGGAGGCUUCAGAACAUGGCCACUCACCCUAAUACUGCGCAUGUGUGUGCCAUCUUGUCACCGUGUUAGAGUGCCACAGUGGGAGACAGAUGUCUUCCACUUACAACUAGAGAGACCUGUGAUUACUGCCUUACCAUUACUGCUGGAGAACCUGCUUGCAUUCCACACUGCUAUCAAGAUACAGGCACUGGCUGGUGACCUGUAUGCUCCACUCUGCUCAAGCCCCACUCCAUGUACUGUAUGUGCCUACCUGUGAGUAUGGCUGUACCAUCACAUUGUUACCAAAUAAACUACCCCACUGCCCUGUA